rnacentral:rRNA from 1 species
CACGUAGGGUGCGAGCGUUGUCCGGAAUUAUUGGGCGUAAAGGGCGCGUAGGCGGCUUUGCAAGUGACGGGUGAAAUCCCUCGGCUUAACCGAGGAACUGCCUGUCAGACUGCAUGGCUUGAGACCGGGAGAGGUGAGUGGAAUUCCCAGUGUAGCGGUGAAAUGCGUAGAUAUUGGGAGGAACACCAGUGGCGAAGGCGGCUCACUGGACCGGUACUGACGCUGAGGCGCGAAAGCGUGGGGAGCAAACAGG